GAUGAACGCUGGCGGCGUGCCUAAUACAUGCAAGUCGAGCGAACAGACGAGGAGCUUGCUCCUCUGACGUUAGCGGCGGACGGGUGAGUAACACGUGGAUAACCUACCUAUAAGACUGGGAUAACUUCGGGAAACCGGAGCUGAUACCGGAUAAUAUAUUGAACCGCAUGGUUCAAUAGUGAAAGACGGUUUUGCUGUCACUUAUAGAUGGAUCCGCGCCGCAUUAGCUAGUUGGUAAGGUAACGGCUUACCAAGGCAACGAUGCGUAGCCGACCUGAGAGGAUGAUCAGCCACACUGGAACUGAGACACGGUCCAGACUCCUACGGGAGGCAGCAGUGGGGAAUCUUCCGCAAUGGGCGAAAGCCUGACGGAGCAACGCCGCGUGAGUGAUGAAGGUCUUCGGAUCGUAAAACUCUGUUAUUAGGAAAGAACAAAUGUGUAAGUAACUAUGCACGUCUUGACGGUACCUAAUCAGAAAGCCACGGCUAACUACGUG
rnacentral:rRNA from 1 species